rnacentral:rRNA from 1 species
CGCGUAGGCGGCCUGUUAAGUCGAACGUGAAAUCCCCGGGCUCAACCCGGGAACUGCGUCCGAUACUGGCAGGCUUGAAUCCGGGAGAGGGAUGUGGAAUUCCAGGUGUAGCGGUGAAAUGCGUAGAUAUCUGGAGGAACACCGGUGGCGAAGGCGGCAUCCUGGACCGGUAUUGACGCUGAGGCGCGAAAGCCAGGGGAGCAAACG